AUCCUUCUAUGGUUCAUAAGCAUGGCGAAUGGGUAUUCAUGCAUCUGUGUGAGAUGUGCCUCCCUCAAACCUUGUUACAACGUUGGCACAUUAUCUGUCUGACA
rnacentral:snoRNA from 1 species